AGCAGACUGUAACAGUGUGAUUAUUUUUAAUUCAAUUCAUUAUAUUUAAUAACAAAAGUACAUUAGAGAUGUUGAUCUUUUUAUAAAAGAAGAAGGAUUUAAUCGACCCGUCUUGUAACACGGACCAAGGAGUCUAAACAUGUAUGCGAGUAAACUGUAGUUUUAAAACUCAUCAUGCAAAAUUAAAGUAAAAUUAUGGUAGGAAUGAUUUCACAAGGAGUCAUGCACUAUCAACCGACUUGGAUGGGGGAAAACCUCUGAAAGGAUUGAGUAAGAGCAUUUAUGUUAGGACCCGAAAGAUGGUGAACUAUGCCUGAGUAGGGCAAAGUCAGAGGAAACUCUGAUGGAGGCUCGAAGGGGUUCUGACGUGCAAAUCGAUCUUCAAACUUGGGUAUAGGGGCG
rnacentral:rRNA from 1 species